GAGAAAGCUACCAAAGGGCAUACGGUGAAUGUCUUGGCGUCCAGAGGCGAUGAAGGACGUUGGAACCUGCGAUAAGCCUCGGGGAGCCGGUAACCAGGCUGUGAUCCGAGGAUCUCCGAAUGGGGAAACCCGGCCCGUCAGGGUCAUCCAUAUCUGAAUGCAUAGGGUAUGGAAGCAAACCCGGUGAACUGAAACAUCUCAGUAACCGGAGGAAAGGAAAGCAAAAUGCGACUCCGUCAGUAGCGGCGAGCGAAAGCGGAUCAACCAGUAGCUGCGUGAACGACCUGGAAAGGUCGACCACAGAAGGUGAUAGUCCUGUACUGCAGUAGCUGGCCAGCCCUAGAGUAGCGCGGUGCUCGUGAAACUCCGCGUGAACAUGGGGGGUCCACCCUCCAAGGCUAAGUACUCCUGGACGACCGAUAGCGAAUCAGUAAGGUGACUGAACGAUGAAAAGCACCCCGAUAAGGGGAGUGAAAAGUACCUGAAACCGUGUGCUUACAAGCUGUGGGAGCCCGCCUAGGCGGGUGACCGCGUGCCUUUUGCAUAAUGAGCCUGCGAGUUACUCUCUGUGGCAAGGUUAAGUCGAAUCACGACGGAGCCGAAGGGAAACCGAGUCCGAAAUGGGCGUCGAGUCGCAGGGGGUAGACGCGAAACCUGGUGAUCUACCCAUGGGCAGGUUGAAGGAGGGGUAAAACCUUCUGGAGGACCGAACACACCUACGUUGAAAAGUGGGGUGAUGACCUGUGGGGAGGAGUUAAAGUCUAAUCAAACCAGGAGAUAUCUCGUUCUCUCCGAAAUAGCUUUAGGGCUAGCCUCGCGUUACAGCGUUUGGGGGUAGAGCUACUGGAUGGGGCUGGGGGGCUCACCGCCUACCCACUCCAACCAAACUCCGAAUACCAAACGCCUUUGUCGCGGGAGUCAGUCUGUGGGAGAUAAUUUCCACGGUCGAAAGGGAAACAGCCCAGACCGCCAGUUAAGGUCCCUGAUCGAACCUCAGUUUCUAAGGAAGUCGAAUUGCUGAGACAGCCAGGAUG
rnacentral:rRNA from 1 species